ACGGCCAUACCAUGCUGAAUAUACCGGUUCUCGUUAGAUCACCGAAGUCAAGCAUCAUUGGGCGCGGUCAGUACUUUGGUGGGUGACCACCUGGGAACACCGUGUGCCGUU
rnacentral:rRNA from 1 species